rnacentral:rRNA from 1 species
GUGGGGAAUCUUGCGCAAUGGGCGAAAGCCUGACGCAGCAACGCCGCGUGGUGGAUGAAGGCUCUCGGGUUGUAAACCCCUUUCAGCAGGGACGAAUCAAGACGGUACCUGCAGAAGAAGCCCCGGCUAACUACGUGCCAGCAGCCGCGGUAACACGUAGGGGGCAAGCGUUGUCCGGAUUUAUUGGGCGUAAAGAGCUCGUAGGUGGCUGAGUAAGUCGGAUGUCAAAUCCCCAGGCUCAACCUGGGAUCCCAUCCGAUACUGCUCUGGCUAGAGUCCGGUAGGGGAGCGUGGAAUUCCUGGUGUAGCGGUGAAAUGCGCAGAUAUCAGGAGGAACACCAGCGGCGAAGGCGGCGCUCUGGGCCAGUACUGACACUGAGGAGCGAAAGCGUGGGUAGCAAACAGGAUUAGAUACCCGGGUAGUCC